GGAAGAUGGGCAUGGAUGUUAGCUCAGGGCCAGUCUUCCUCAGCAAAAAGAGGAGGAUUGGCAGCAGAUGUUAGCUGAGGGCUAAUCUUCCUCAAAAAAAAAAAAAAGAAAGAAAUGUGUCUUCUGAUUAAACCAAGCAUGUUUUCAUUACUCAAACUUUAAAGCACAUUGUCACAAUAACUCUCACUUGGUACCUGAUGUCUGACUGUACCUAUCCAGUGUCUGGACGCUCUGUAUUGUUGAACUUCUGAAGUUUUACCUGCUUUAUGAACUACUCGCAAACCUUGAACAUCAGCAUUUCCCUUACCAAAGUACCAAAAUAGGAACAAGCAUUGCUUCAACGCCUCACCCUUCCUUGUCUUAGGUCACGGCCGUAAAGGAUUGGAUUUUAGGCUCCUUUCCCCCUGGAAACCCUUACACCCCUGGUUUACCUUCACCUGUGGUGCCUUGUAUGAUGUAAAUACUAUUCCACAAUGACGCCCCUCCCCCAAGUCCUUUAUGGUUCUUUGAUAUUACUUAGAAGGUGAUUACAUAGCUUCAUUUAUUUCUUUGAAUGCACAGGUUUCAUGGUCAUUAAAAUAAUCACAGACUCAUCAGUUCUCCCCAUGCUUAAAUAAGAUCAACACAAACCAGAACAAGAGGCUUCUUCACUCUAUUCACCACGGUUUCUCUUCUCCUUCUCUCUUUCACACCCCCUCUCCUCCACUUUUCUCAUCCCUUCCCUUCUUCCCCACCCUCAAACUUGGCUUAUAGAAGAACGCAAUAAUUUUGUAAUAGUUCUUUCUGUAAUGACUCUAACAUUUAUUUAGCUGUUUUCCUAGACACAGGGAAGUGUUGCCUUUCCACAAACUGUCAGAGGCAGCUGUAGCAAUUUUGGCGUUUGCUAGAGGGAAAAAAAAAAGCCUGCUUGGCUCUGCCUUAAAAACCAGUUCAGCAAUGAAAUGGUUAAUCGGAUGAGUAAAGGCUAUUUUUAAGUCUGGCUCCCCUCUCUGAUGCACUCUUGAAAAUUCACCCUGUACUGCAGAAAUCCUAAAUUGCAGUGCCCUGCACCCCACUGAAACUCUUCAGUCUGCUGCACUAAAAAAAGAACAAUUAUUUCUAGAAACUAAAAAAAAGACAGAGAGAAGGAAAGGAAGGAAGAAUGGACGGCAGUUGCCUGGUUCGUGGUAUCAAGAUCUGUGCCGUCCAGAGGAAACGACACGUGAGCCUCCAUCCGGAUUCUGUGACUCACGUGCUUGUGACCACCAACUUCUGGUCACCCACCAAGUUUCAAAUAAUUUCCUAGAGCAGUUUAAAUAUUUAUUUGUGUGUGUGUCUGUGCUUUUUUGUAAUAUUUGGAUAAGGAAUAAUAGCAAUAAUGGAAACCUAAAAAUAAUUGAUGUGAUGGGGUACUGGACUGAUGAACAGACUUGUCUCUAAUUUCCUUUAUUCUUGUUACGAUAAUUGUGCAACAAAUGAAAAUAGUAAGGAAAACAGGUGACAGUGGAGAGUGGUGAAUGAGGAGGAAGGAGAGGGCAUGAGCCCGUUUUAGGAACAAGCAGUUCUCUAUAUGGCGGGCUCUCAGCUGUCCAGGUUCAAAAAACUCACAAUAAAAUGCUUUUGCAUUCAAGUUUACUAGAUUUGGAAGUAAAAGCCCUGUUCCAACCCCACUGCUUCCUGCUUCUUAGUUUCCCUGAGCUUCCAUCUCCUCCUCCACGAAUGGGGUCAUAACCUGCUCUUACCUAAUUUAUUUUGCAAAGAUGGAAAAGGAAAGUUCAAAUGAGGUAAUUAUGUGAAGAAAAAUGUUAUUUUAGGAUCCCGAGACUUUGUGUUUUUCAAUUAAUUAUAUUUGACGAUUGGAAUUACUUGGACUAGACAUAGAAUUUCCCAGUUGCUAGGGGGAGCUUGAUGUCAUGAUGAUGUUGGUCUGUUACAGCUGAUGGUGGUUAAUUUCUCUCUUUCAGGGAGUCAGCAAAGCCAUGGAAAUUUAGGCAUGGAUUUUGGAGUCAGAUAUGAUGUGUGUUUGGGAGGCCUCGGACCAUUAACUCAGGCUCCCUGAGCCUGUUUCCUGUUCUGUAAAACGGGGAUAGUAAAGCCUACCUUGCAGGGCUGCUAAAAAAUUGGGAAUAAUGUGUGUAAAGCACCAGACAUUGAGUUGGCCACGCAGUGAGCCCCGAAUCUACGGUGGCUGUUAUUGUUAUAAGAGCAUCAAUUUUUAAAUAUUCUCCCUCGUCUCCCCGCUCCCACAGUUCAUUCAUAAAAGCACAGGCUCCUGAUCCACUGUUCUUCCAGUCCUUGGGAGAAUUUUCUAACUCAGUACACUAGGAGCAAGGCCAAUAUCUUAGAUGAUUCUGUUCUAGAAAGGUGCUUAAACACAGUCAAGAUAUAGCGUAGUUUUACCAAGAAAGCGGGACUUUGCUAUAAACUAUCACCCUGGAGACAAGACUGAAAAAAAACAAAUCAAGGCCACGUGCCUACCCACAGCAGGAGAAAUAUACAAAGUCAAGAUUUCUGUCAGCAUAUUAUGCUUCUGGUUGUUUACAUAAAAACAUGUCUUGGACAGUAAUUAUGCAUUUUUCAGAACUGGGCCAGCUCUGGGAAUGCAAAGCUGAGAGGCAGCAGUCACUGCGGUUACUUUCAGUUUCAACUGUCAGGUUGGGAGUCAGAGGGGCAUGGGUUUGAACGCUAGUUUAGCACCAUAAGUGACCACUGGUCCACUGCUUACUAGCUAAGUGACGUGGUGCAAGCUGAUCAGUCUCUCAGAAAAUCAGUUUUUACAUUGGGAGUUGGAUAAAAACCAAGUGUCUGCUGCAGAGACAAAAGAAUGAAUUUGGAAAAUGAAUUAAAGGGCCUGGGUCUGGCACAUGAUAGGUGUAGGUGUUUAGAAGAUGGUAAUAGUGGUUGCUAUUAGCAGCGAUGAGAUGAAGUCUUCAUCUUGGAGGAAUGCUCGGCAUAGCAGCAGAAAAAAUGUACGCGAAUAAAGUCCUGAAUAAAUUCAAAGUAUGUGUUCACAGUGCUUCAGUAUUAUGAAAGCAGAAAGGGUGAAGCCCAUGUGACGAGGAAAGAUCGAAGGGGGCUUCAAAGAGAAACAUUUGAGCCUCACCUUGAAAGAUGGGUAGAAAUUCUCCAAGAGGAAAGGGAGAGAAGAAGCACAAGGUGGCACAAGGGUACAGAGGAUGAGGCUUGGGCAGGGAUGUUGUCCUGUGUCUUGAGUUAGCAGUGUCACAUGGUUAAGAAUGGUGGGAGAUGAGGUGGAAAGCCAGUGCUGCUCCAGGCUGGAAAUGGCUUUGUACACCCAAAUGCCACUGACCUUGGUUUCUUGAGCAAGAGACAGCCAAUGAAGUUGUGCUGGGCGUCCUCCAUUUGCUCCUCCAGUCAGCCUUCACUUACCUCCAUUUGCUCCUGAACUAGGGGGCUGAGCUGUUGCGGACCACAUCAACGAGCUCCCUCCCGCUCAGGCUUCCAGUAGGUUUUGGCCAACGGAACACAGGGAAGAAAUCAAAAGGAAGACUGAGACUGGGGUAUAUAUUCUUUUGACAAAAGAUCACAGCAUCCAUCAGGCCGCCUUCCCACACAGCUCUCUCUUCCUGGGAUCCAUGAGCCUCUCUCCCAAGGUCUCCCACAGAGAGGUGGUGAAUGCACCUCACCGGUACUGGUACCAAGUAUGGAACCAUCAUAAGAGAUGGUUUACAAAUAGUCCUUUUAUUACCUCUUCUUAAAUUACCCAAUUUGAAGUACCAAACGUUUCCUGCCAGGCCCCUGACUGAUAUAUAACUUAAAUAGGGAAUAAAGUCAAUGUGUUUCUGGGGGAGGGCUAGGGCAGAGAGACCAUGGCACUAACACCAGAAGACAUGAAGUCACAGGCCAUACAAUUUAUGUAAAGAACAAUGGUUUGUCUGUUCCUUUGUGGCUGCUAGUCUGGAACCACAUGGAGACAUGGCGUGGCUUCUUGGAGAGUGUCCUCAGCCUGGUCUCUAAGUGAGCCACUCAUGACGAGAUUGAAGGGUGACCCUGUGAAAUGCUGUUACCCAUCUCCAUGAGUGGACUGACUUCAAGAGGAAGGCCUUGAAAUAAGCCGUCUCAUGUCAAAUUGUUCUUCUUAUUAGGAUAGCUACAGAAGAUGGACAAAAGGUGGAAGUGUUGUGAGUGACUGAUGCGGCCAACUUAAGAAGAAAAGUCCCCUUUUCUAGGCCUGUUUUUCCUUUGCAAGGAACCAACAGAGUUUCUCUUCUCCACCUCGGCCCUUCAUCUUACCCCAGGAAGGUAGGAACCGGCUACUCCCUCUCUUCCCACUGCUGUCCAUCCUGUGCUCUGGGAAGCACAGUUACUUUUUAUGGCUCUCCCCAGGGAGUUUGAAUUUUGAGCCUCAGCUUUAAUUAUGUAAUGAAAACAUAUGUUUCCUAUUGCAAGAAUUUUAGACAGCAGUGAGGAGGAGGGAGAGAUGGGGUGAGGCUGUGAGGGGAGAGAGGACUAAGUGACUUCCACUGAGCAGUAAUUACAGCGGAGAGUAGAAGACCAUUCGCAGACCUGCGAGGCCGAGCUGGAAGCAUUUCAUUCAAUAAUCAUUUAGCAUUGAGAGCUGUGUAUGCAGGGCACUGCCGAGCUUUGGGGAAAUACAAAGUGGAGUGGAGGGGGGAUAGUGUGAGAAGAGGGAUGAGACCUGUACACACAUGUGUGAGUAGGUGAAGGAACUAGGAUGCGGGUUUAGAAGACGAGAUGAGAUCAGGUUGCAGGAACUUGAUUAUAGAGACAGUAUUUGAAUCAGGUCUUGAAAGACGGGUAGACAUGGAAGUAGCAGGGGUUUUCUGGGCAGCCUUCCCCAUCCUUGCCACUUCCCUUGCCCUGCUCCCCCAAAGCAAUGAACCUGCUUCAUUGUGUUUAGAGAACAAGUUCAAAUAUUUGAUGAGUAAGUAUUACAUAGAUAAAAUUUAACCAGGAUAUGCUUCAGGGUGGUCUAUGACAAAUCAUAUUUUGCGUAGGCUUCUUCGCCUCAACCACACCAGCGGUAAAUAAAUAUUUGCUUCUAAUUACAGAAUUAAUACACAAAUAGUUUUUGAUCAUAAAAAGAUUCAAGCAUUAUAGGCAUAACAGAAGUUCUCUUUGAAAUCACCACCCCCAAACCCAUAUUUACUUCUAGAAGUAUAUUGUUCUGUGUGUGGGUCUGUGGUUACGUAAUGGUAUCGUACUGUGUGUUCGUGCUACAGUCUGCAUUUAUUACUCAAUAUAUCUUGGAGCUCAUUCUAAGUGGCUUCACAGAGAUCUACCCUCAUUCUUUGUAAUCCUACCUACAUUUGUUUGUUUCUCGGGAUAGUUUUGGAAACACUUUCCAUAACUCUUUUGGAAACUUUCCUUACAAUAAGAAUCACCCAGAAACAUUCAGAGCCCUCCCCAAGACUGGUUUUCCAUAGGAUUGGGAAGAAGGUUGGAGAAAUUAUUUGCAGCCAACAUCCCAGCAACCUGGAGCCCCUGAAAUGGUCGUGACUGCCCCAACGAUCAAAACUUCUGUGGACAGCUGUGAAAGCAAAAGAGAAGACUGACCUGAGAAGGACAUUUUGUCCCCUGACUGUUGGUACAGAAUACCUGAGGCAGGAUGUGUGUGUCCAGAGGACACAGCCUGCCAUGUCUGAGGCUAUCCUUCUGCCUAGCAGCCCGGGUUGUGGGGUAAGAGCUGAGGCUGGAUUGGAGAAAUUAGAAUACACUAUAUCUUUUUUCCUUUUGACAGUGCAACCUCUUCCUAGGGAAGGCUCAAAAACCUUGGAUAUCAUAUCAUUCCACAAAAGGAAAGUUUGCUGAGUUUGUUUUUAAUAUAUCAGAAACAUAUGUAUUAAAUUCCGUUAAAAUGCAGAGAACUUUUUAGUAUCAUAGAACUUAGUAAAUAUUUUCCACUUUAAAGUUGUGUCCUUUGACAAGUCAGAGAACACGUCUUUGGUUUCUGUCCCGUAUAUGAGAUAAAUACCACAAAUGUGUUUUGGAAAAGAAAGCAAAUUUAAAAAAGGAAAUAAAGCAAGCCAAAGACCCAUCACAAUUACUACAACAGAAUGAAGAACAAUUGGGUGUAGCAAGAAGGAACUCUUCCUUAGAUCCUAGUAGAUGUGCCGUGGGUAUGGUAAAAGCAUAACGAAACUAGCAAUUUCCACUGGACACUGUGGAGGGGAUGGGGAGAGAAACGGAGAGGGAGGAUGGUGCCUGCUGACUGGAAAGGCCUUACUCCUGCCCUUGGGUUAAGGCUUCCUGGGAGGCCUUCACAUACCACCAAGGAGUUCCAUCCAGGGAUUAUCCAGUUUCCCAUGAUGAUGUUUAAUUUGGGGGUUUUCUCAAUUUUUGAGCCUGAGUCUCUGUUUAUGACUGAGUUCGUGCCAAAUUGUGUUACUUUCCCUGUACCUGGCUAACAGGAGAAGAUCGUUAGUAGACCUGACACAUAAGAGACACGCUGGUAGCAUGCAAAGGCCGAGGAGUUGCACAGGCAGCUGUGGAAGGAGGAUUCACAGAGAAGCAGUAAGAAAUUGGGUCAUCAACCAGCACUCAGUGGCUUGGGCAUGGGGACCCACGAGAACCUGCUGUAGCCUAUGCUCUUGAAGAGCUGAGAUUCAGUUUCAGCAAAACGUCACCAGCUGUCACAUUACGUUAGUGUUCAUUUGAAUUGCACUGGUUUUGUGAUUUCGUUUUCAUUUAAAGUUAUUCUUACUUUAUUGUUGCCUAAGUUGUAUGUAUAUAAGGAGCUAAUAUAUAAAAAUCAUAUUAUAGUAUUUAAACGAC
rnacentral:lncRNA from 1 species